rnacentral:rRNA from 1 species
GGGAGCUUGCUCCUGGAUUCAGCGGCGGACGGGUGAGUAAUGCCUAGGAAUCUGCCUGGUAGUGGGGGAUAACGUCCGGAAACGGGCGCUAAUACCGCAUACGUCCUGAGGGAGAAAGUGGGGGAUCUUCGGACCUCACGCUAUCAGAUGAGCCUAGGUCGGAUUAGCUAGUUGGUGGGGUAAAGGCCUACCAAGGCGACGAUCCGUAACUGGUCUGAGAGGAUGAUCAGUCACACUGGAACUGAGACACGGUCCAGACUCCUACGGGAGGCAGCAGUGGGGAAUAUUGGACAAUGGGCGAAAGCCUGAUCCAGCCAUGCCGCGUGUGUGAAGAAGGUCUUCGGAUUGUAAAGCACUUUAAGUUGGGAGGAAGGGCAGUAAGUUAAUACCUUGCCGUUUUGACGUUACCAACAGAAUAAGCACCGGCUAACUUCGUGCCAGCAGCCGCGGUAAUACGAAGGGUGCAAGCGUUAAUCGGAAUUACUGGGCGUAAAGCGCGCGUAGGUGGUUCAGCAAGUUGGAUGUGAAAUCCCCGGGCUCAACCUGGGAACUGCAUCCAAAACUACUGAGCUAGAGUACGGUAGAGGGUGGUGGAAUUUCCUGUGUAGCGGUGAAAUGCGUAGAUAUAGGAAGGAACACCAGUGGCGAA